rnacentral:rRNA from 1 species
UAUGGUAAUUGUGUGCCAGCCUCCGCUUUACUACGUAGGUGGCAAGCGUUAUCCGGAAUUACUGGGUGUAAAGGGUGCGUAGGUGGUAUGGCAAGUCAGAAGUGAAAACCCAGGGCUUAACUCUGGGACUGCUUUUGAAACUGUCAGACUGGAGUGCAGGAGAGGUAAGCGGAAUUCCUAGUGUAGCGGUGAAAUGCGUAGAUAUUAGGAGGAACAUCAGUGGCGAAGGCGGCUUACUGGACUGAAACUGACACUGAGGCACGAAAGCGUGGGGAGCAAACAGG